GGCGAAGGUGAGCUGUGCGGCAGGCCCGGCGGGUGGAGCCGAGGUGCAUUCACUAUCGCCGUGGUCCCUGGAGCAGUGCUGUCCUCACCCUGCAGGCUGGGGUCACACUCAGGUCCUCCUUCAACAGCAAGGAUGCCUAACCUACGCUGGUCAACCCUCUGCUCUGGCCGCAAAGUGUCCUGGAAAGGAGAAGAGGGCUGUGAAGCAAGGGUUUGGACCCAAGUCUUCAGGAGGAGGCAUGUUUUGACCCUGAGCUGCAAGAUUCCCAGUGUCAAGGAACAGGAAAAAGGAAGCGUUUGGUUUUUGUUCUUAAACAUACGCUGCAAUUUUAUACUGAUGGCUUCCUCCUUCCCUCAUCCAACCCCCCACCCCGCUGUGUGGAAUACCAGCUGCACCCACUGUAUCCACAGUCACGGAACCUGAGGCUGUUUCCAUUAGACUCUACACUCUGUGGGGGACAGACCGGGCCAAGGCAUGAGACUUCCCAUGAGCAGAAAAAGGAAAACAGGCACAUGAGACCAGCCCAGCGUUUGGGCAUUCACAGCAGCAAUGACUCAAACAAGACUGUAACAAAGGGGGAUGUGUGACUGGGUCAAAAAUGCAGUGACUUGGUUGAAAAAAUCAAAGGGAAGUGAAUUGGAUCCCUUCCGGCCAACGAGAGCUGAGGGCCGUGUGCAGCCUGGUGGCAGCCUGCCCUCCCUUGGGGCUGCUUGAGGGAUUAGGUAAAUAUAAACAUCUUCAAAUAACCCAAGAAGUGAGAAAUUGAAAGCAUGACAAGUCGGAGAUGUCAUGGGUGAUAUAUUUAGAAGAGCUUAGUUUGCAAGCUAGAAUCACAGAGCAGUGAGUUGCAGCCAAUGAAAAGCAUUUAAGGUCAAGUUUCUGUCACUGCACGGGGUUGCAGCCUUUGACAAAAAACCAGAAGAGACCCACAUUCUCCAAAGAGCAGGCGACAAUUUUAAUAAACUGGCUCGUUCACCACUGCCCCAAUGGCCAGUUUCCGCAUCGAGACAGCUCAGGAUUUCAAAGGGAAGUGGCUUAUGAAAGAACUGCCAUGAACCCAGAAGCAUUUGAUGGGAAAACUGCUAGACAAGGGGAAGCUGGCUCUGUACGCCACUUAGCUGCACGUGUUUUUCAAGUGGGGGCUUCUCAAAAACGGCCACGUGUCUCUCAAAAACAUCAAGUCUGAGCUCAAAGAUGUAAAAGACCUGAAAUGAUUCCAGCUUUCUUGGCUGACAUCAUCACCUGUCUCCUAAGCUGCUCAUCACUACCACAGCCUCGUCCGCCUCUGCUGGGGCACUGCUCACCCCACGCACGGGACUUUCCAGAAGGCUCCACGCACACCGCCUCUGUCAGCCCUGGAGCGGUGAUCACAUCACAUUCCCGACUUUUCCCAUCAGGUUUUGCUGUUGACCCUUCCUUCCGUAUCUGACUUGCCUGACUCACAAGACUGCACACCUUUGGGUGGGAGAACCUGUGGGUAAAAUUGUAACAUUUCCAGAAUAUCUCGCCUGGCUUUAGUGCAUCUGCGUAUCCUCAGGGGUGGAGAGAAGGUCAUCUCCGUGUCAGUGGGUAAUUACCUGCACAACUGAGGGCAUGUCUGAACCUGAGAGUUUAAGGGGAGGGCCUGGCUUGGUUGCUUCCUCUGGAGCAGGGGAGAGAGACAGCCCUGGACUACAGUUUGUAAGCAAUAAACAGGUUUUAAACUUCAUUUCUCCCUUUGACUGAUUUUAGCUUUUAGAGGUAUUUUGCCCCAGGAUUUCCUUUUCCUGGAUUUACAGAACCACUCACGGGUCCCCUUUGUGAACCACCUGCCUUCCCCCACCUCCGGGCA